GAUCAUGGCUCAGGACGAACGCUGGCGGCGCGCCUAACACAUGCAAGUCGAACGGAGCUUAGAGAGCUUGCUUUUUAAGCUUAGUGGCGGACGGGUGAGUAACGUGUGGGCAACCUGCCCUAUACUGGGGAAUAAUCACUGGAAACGGUGACUAAUACCGCAUGUCAUCACGAGAAGGCAUCUUUUUGUGAGAAAAGGAGUAAUUCGGUAUAGGAUGGGCCCGCAUCUGAUUAGCUAGUUGG
rnacentral:rRNA from 1 species